GCCCUAGUAACGGCGAGCGAAGCGGCAACAGCUCAAAUUUGAAAUCUGGCUACUUUGUAGUCCGAGUUGUAAUUUGUAGAGGAUGCUUUUGGUGAGGUGCCUUCCGAGUUCCCUGGAACGGGACGCCAGAGAGGGUGAGAGCCCCGUACGGUUGGAUACCAAACCUUUGUAUAGCUCCUUCAACGAGUCGAGUAGUUUGGGAAUGCUGCUCUAAAUGGGAGGUAUAUCUCUUCUAAAGCUAAAUAUAGGCUAGAGACCGAUAGCGCACAAGUAGAGUGAUCGAAAGAUGAAAAGCACUUUGAAAAGAGAGUUAAACAGCACGUGAAAUUGUUGAAAGGGAAGCGCCUAUGACCAGACUUGUUUCUUUCAGUUUUGUUAGUUCUCGGACUGAUUUACUCUGUUAGUACAGGCCAGCAUCAGUUUGUUGUCGGGGAGAAAGGCUUAGGGAAUGUGGCUCCUUCGGGAGUGUUAUAGCCCUUUGCAUAAUACCCUUCGGCAGACUGAGGACCGCGCUUCGGCAAGGAUGCUGGCGUAAUGGUCAUCAGCGACCCGUCUUGAAACACGGACCAAGGAGUCAACCUUAUGUGCGAGUGUUUGGGUGUAAAACCCCAGCGCGUAAUGAACGUGAACGUAGGUGAGAGCUUCGGCGCAUCAUCGACCGAUUCUGAUGUUCUCGGAUGGAUUUGAGUAAGAGCACACAGGGUUGGACCCGAAAGAAGGUGAACUAUGCUUGUAUAGGGUGAAGCCAGAGGAAACUCUGGUGGAGGCUCGCAGCGGUUCUGACGUGCAAAUCGAUCGUCAAAUAUGAGCAUGGGGGCGAAAGA
rnacentral:rRNA from 1 species